rnacentral:rRNA from 1 species
GAUGAACGCUGGCGGCGUGCCUAACACAUGCAAGUCGAGCGAACGGACCAGAAGCGCUUUUCUUUGUGGGUAGCGGCGGACGGGUGAGUAAGGCGUAGAUAAGCUUCCACUACGACCGGGGUAAUGUCGUGAAACCGCAUCAAAUCACAGCUAAUACUUCGUAAUGACCUGUUCAAGAGUGAAUUACGGACUACAUGCUUCCUUUAGACGGUGCCGCGCUGCAUUAGCUAGUUGGUAAGGUAACGGCUUACCAAGGCAACGACGCGUAGCCGACCUGAGAGGGUGAUCGGCCACACUGGAACUGAGACACGGUCCAGACUCCUACGGGAGGCAGCAGUGGGGAAUCUUCCGCAAUGGGCGAAAGCCUGACGGAGCAACGCCGCGUGAGUGAUGAAGGUCUUCGGAUCGUAAAACUCUGUUAUUAGGGAAGAACAUAUGUGUAAGUAACUGUCCACAUCUUGACGGUACCUAAUCAGAAAGCCACGGCUAACUACGUG